rnacentral:rRNA from 1 species
AGUGAACGCUGGCGGCGUGCUUAACACAUGCAAGUCGAACGAGAACGGGAUAUAGCUUGCUAUAUUUGUCAGCUAAGUGGCGCACGGGUGAGUAAUGUAUAGGUAAUAUGCCUCUUACUAAGGGAUAACAAUUGGAAACGAUUGCUAAUACCUUAUAUGCCUUUAAGACUAAAGUCUGCAAGGGAAAGAUUUAUUGGUAAGAGAUUAGCCUGUAUUGUAUCAGCUAGUUGGUGAGGUAAUGGCUCACCAAGGCUAUGACGCAUAACUGGUUUGAGAGGAUGAUCAGUCACACUGGAACUGAGACACGGUCCAGACUCCUACGGGAGGCAGCAGUGGGGAAUAUUGCACAAUGGACGAAAGUCUGAUGCAGCAACGCCGCGUGGAGGAUGACACAUUCGGUGCGUAAACUCCUUUUAUAUAGGAAGAUAAUGACGGUACUAUAUGAAUAAGCACCGGCUAACU